AUCCGUAGCUGGUUUGAGAGGACGACCAGCCACACUGGGACUGAGACACGGCCCAAACUCGUACGGGAGGCAGCAGUGGGGAAUUUUGGACAAUGGGGGAAACCCUGAUCCAGCCAUCCCGCGUGUAUGAUGAAGGCCUUCGGGUUGUAAAGUACUUUUGGCAGAGAAGAAAACGUAUCCCCUAAUACGGGAUACUGCUGACGGUAUCUGCAGAAUAAGCACCGGCUAACUACGUGCCAGCAGCCGCGGUAAUACGUACGGUGCAAGCGUUAAUCGGAAUUACUGGGCGUAAAGCGUGUGUACGCGGUUCGGAAAGAAAGAUGUGAAAUCCCAGGGCUCAACCUUGGAACUGCAUUUUUAACUGCCGAGCUAGAGUAUGUCAGAGGGGGGUAGAAUUCCACGUGUAGCAGUGAAAUGCGUAGAUAUGUGGAGGAAUACCGAUGGCGAAGGCAGCCCCCUGGGAUAAUACUGACGCUCAGACACGAAAGCGUGGGGAGCAAACAGGAUUAGAUACCCUGGUAGUCCACGCCCUAAACGAUGUCAACUAGCUGUUGGGGCCGUUAGGCCUUAGUAGCGCAGCUAACGCGUGAAGUUGACCGCCUGGGGAGUACGGUCGCAAGAUUAAAACUCACAG
rnacentral:rRNA from 1 species